UGUGAGAUAACAGCCCAGCCUCCUAUUGGCUCAGCAGCCAGGCUGAAAAUUUUUUCUGUUUCCCCAGGGGCAGAAAAGCUAGAAAUAUUUAGGAGUGAGAAAGAAAGACUUCCUUGGACUUGAGAGGACCCAUAUCCCAGACCCUGGAAAGAAGAAGGAUGGAAAAGCUCCUAGGAAUUUCAUUACUGAUCCUGUGUCUUCAGCUGGGCUGGGUGAGCUGCCUCCAGAAGGUGGAACAGAGUCCGCAGUCCUUGAGGGUCCAGGAGGGAGAGAACAUCACUAUCAACUGCAACUUCACAGAAACUCCCCAAGGCUCCCAGUGGUUCAGGCAGGAUGCUGGGAAAGGCCUCAUCUCCCUAUUUUACUUGGCUUCAGGGAUGAAAGAAGAAGGCAGAUUGAAAUCUGUGAUCAACUUACAGGAACGUUACAGCUCCCUGUACGUCAAAGCUUCCCAGCCUGGAGACUCAGCCACCUACCUUUGUGGUGUUAGGGCACAGUGAUCCCUAGGCACCUGCAGGCUAUGCACAAACCCUGCAUCUGGGGCUGUAGGCACACUCGCUGCCAGGGCGCCCCAUGAAGGCAUACUAGGACUCUUUACACAAGUUGACUUUCUUGAUUAUUAAAUCUUCCUUUUUGCCCCUUCUACCUUUCAGCCUUUUUCUGGUUCCUUUUAACGUUAGUGCCAUCCCUCUGAGAUUACCUUCCUUAUAUCAGGUUCCAGCUUCUAUGUACAUAAUUAUUUGUGUGUUGUUUCCCCAUUUGUUCAUUAGUUCU